GUGAUUGGUCCAGGGCUGGGUAAAGGGGGUGGAGCACAGGCAGGGUUGGAAGCAGCAGGCGAUGGUCAGAGAUGCUUAAAGAAGCAGGCCAUCAAUAACACUGCAGUGCGUGGGCCUCAGCACUGACGUCACCGGAUCCCAUUGAAGAGGUGAUGCAAGAGAGAGUGGUGGCUGGAUUCGUGUUUUCAGAUGCUUAUUCUAGCAACAUUUUAGGAGAGGAUAUGCUUGAUAUUAUGGAAGAAAACAGCAGUGAAGCUCUUCAGUCAUCAAAGAGAGGAGCCAUUAAGGAAUGAGCAUGAAGCCUUUAAAUCUGAUACAGUGAGUAAAAGGAGAGAAGAUAAAUGAAGUCCAGGUUAUUAAACCUUGGAGGCAGCUAAUAGAAGCUCAACUCUUCAUCUGGAGGAACAGCUUACAGCUUGCAGUCAGGCUUAUAUCCCUGCCUCUGGACACUGGAAGACUGGAAGCUUUCUCUGGGACUCCAAUGUAAAGAAGAGAACCAAAGAUGCUGGUGGAUUUCCUCACUCCUAAGACAUCAAGAUCAGCCACAGGAACAAAGGUCACCACCGUGCCAGGGCUCAUGGAUCUGGAACUAUGCAGAAGAGGAGGCAGGAAGAUUUUAAGAGCCAGAGGAGAUGAAUGACUCCAAGGAAACAGUGUCUUCCAGACUCAACAGUGCUGUGGGAUGGUCUGUAUGUCAAAUUGCUCUGAUUGGUCAAUAAAUAAAACACUGAUUGGUCAGUGGCUAGGCAGGAAGUAUAGGCAGGACUAACAGAGAGGAGAAAAGAAAGAACAGGAAGGCAGAAGGAGUCACUGCCAGCCGCCACCAGGACAAGCAGCAUGUGAAGAUGCCAGUAAGCCAUGAGCCACGUGGCAAGGUAUAGAUUUAUAGAAAUGGAUUAAUUUAAGAUAUAAGAACAGUUAGCAAGAAGCCUGCCAUGGCCAUACAGUUUGUAAGCAAUAUAAGUCUCUGUGUUUACUUGGUUGGGUCUGAGCAGCUGUGGGACUGGCGGGUGACAAAGAUUUGUCCUGACUGUGGGCAAGGCAGGAAAACUCUAGCUACAAAUGGCACCCAAUGUGUUGGCAAGACUUUCCACCUAAAACCUGAGAAAAAGAUUCUAAAACGAAGCUAAAAACAGUUCCUAGUUGUUUCUCUCAAGUUAGUGGCAGCCUGCAUGUUAGAGCUGCUAUGGCAGGUUCCUGGCAUGUGCACUCGACUUGCAGUAUGGCGGGAAUGAGGCCUCUGCAAGUGGCACAUUAAGUUGCGUGGUGGAUUUAGCCUUUGCUAGUACAAAACAAAAAGAGGUUUCUGGGCUACAUGCUGCUUUGAUAGAAGCAUAGACCCACUAUUUCUGAGAGUUGAUGGCUCCCAGAGCUGGCAAAAAAACAGUACCACCACCAAUUUGGGAAGCUGAAGUGGGCGGAGCCAGCAGCCACAGCUCCAUUUCAGUCUUAGAAUGGUGCAGUUUAAAGCAAUUGGCUCAAGGAAAUACAAAAAAUAAGCCACGUAAAGAUGGCUACCACACAGAGAAUCUGGAUUAUGUUCUCUUUGAUAUUUGUAACUGAAGAAAAACAUUUGAUUGCAAAAGCUGUUGAGUUAUGCCAAAAUGUAUAUUUUAAAGGGACCUUGACUUCAAAAUUUGGAUGUAAGGAUAUGUUACUUUGGAAAGGAGGCUCUGCUUUUGUUUCCACAGAAAGCCAGAGGCUAUGGAUUUGUUCCAGAUUAAGAUACAUCAGGUUUGACCAACCAAGACCCCCUGAAAGGUCUCUGAUGACACCAAGGCCCAGAUGAUCCAACAUCCAGAACCAUUUCAAGGCAACUGGCUCAGAUGAUACACCCUCACGGACUACUCCAUAAUCCUAAAAUUUUCUUUGUGUCCCCAUAUGAUACAGUGCCCCCCCAGCAGGAAGUAGUAAGAGAAGCUAUGUCCAAAUUCCCUUGCCCUAUGGGCAAGGCAAGAAAACUCUAGCUACACAACAGGACUGAUGCACAUAUGAACUCAGAGACUAUGGCAGUAUACAGGGCCUGCAGAUUCAAGCCAUACAGGGUCGCAGUGCUGAGGUGUGCAAGUCACACUGUCUCCUACCCCUCACCAAGAAGCUAUCUGCAAUGGAUAUUCACUGUCAAAGGAAAAAUUAGUUUUCUCCAAUGGAGUCUCACUGGGUAUAUUAACCAGAGAGUAGGCCCCAUAGCAAGAAGUAGUUAUCUGGCCAGCGCAAAAGGAAAUCAGUGGUAUUUUUGCACUCUUUGUCUCAUAUCGCUUUGUUUAGAUACUUUUUUUUUGUCUUAUUGGUCUUUUGCUUAUAUAUUUUGGUUUCCAUUUUUUUCGGGGGGGGAAAUGUGUAUGUGUGUGUGUUUCUUGGGUUUUGUUGUUUUUUUUCUGUUUUUUAAAGAGAGGAAGGGUAUGGAGUUGGGUAGGUGCAGAAAUGAGGGAGUCUGGGAGGAGCAAAGCAUGAUCAGAAUAUAGUUUUAAACUUUCUUCAAUUAAAAUCAGUUUAUUAUUAUUGCUGUGUAGUAUAUUGCAGGAGUAUGGGGCACACAUAUCAAAUGGCAUGCAUGCAGAAAUCAGAGAACAACUUUGUGGAAUAAGUUCUCUGUUUCUACCUUUCUAUGGUUCUUAAGAUCAAACUUAUAAGUCAUCAUGCCUACAUAGAGCAAGGGCUUUAACCCUUAAGCCACCUCACGGGACCCUACUUUUGCAAUUUUUUUGAAAAAAAAAAAGAAGUUUCUGCUGCUGCUGCAGAUGCUGCUGCUGUUGCUGUAAUAGAAACUGAAACAGAGAACAGGGCAUGGAGAUGAGUGCUGCUGGAAAUGCAACUUUAAUGAGGUGGCAAUUAGCCAAGAUGGUCCUAAGCUAUCAAGUAUCUGGAUAAUGAUCAGUUAUGGCUUGGGUAUCAUCUGUAAGGACCAGUGUAGGCAGGCUACAUUUCCACCAUGCUGCAAGAUAAACCUUGGCAGGCAGCCAUAGGAAUCAAAGAGGUUUGGUAAUGUCCUAAAUGUAGCAGGCAAAUGGAAAGCCACAUUAGUGUUUGCAUGGAAAUGCCUGGGAAGACUGUAUGUCAAACACUAUUUAGGUGUUGGGACCCAGUAGGUCAUAAGAGGGGACAUAGCCCUUGUCCUAGUAGACUGAGUAAUCUAAAAAGAAACAUCAAAUUCAUACUUGCAAUCAAAGAAUGAAAAACAAAAAUGUGAUGAAUAACAGGGUUUGAAGUAGAGCUGUAGUUUGCACAUAGAAGCACCAUCCUAAAUCAGUGAUACAUGGCAUUAAAGAAGUAAGGGAGGAGCGGCUGAGCAAAAUGAAUAUGAGUAACAUACAUGAUUUCACCAUCCUUCAGGGAGCUCAGUCCUGGAAUGAGAUGCAAAUCUCCUGUUAGCGUCAGUUUCAAAUACAUUCAUUUUUUUUCCUCUUGCUACAUAUUCAAAAUAGGUCCAUGGUGUACAGUUUUUUGUGUGAGUGAAUAGCCUCAAAGAGUGCUGUUUAUACCAUGGUCCAUAUUCAUGACACCUCUUGGGUACAUAACCUAGAAAGCUACAAUAGGCCUAGAUUAUUUUCACUGAACCUAGACUCCAAAAUAGGCUAGCCAUUUAAAAAGUAUGUACACACACACACACACACACACACACACACACACACACACACACACACGGGGGGCGGGGGGAGACAUAUAUCAUUUAUGUCUAUGUUAAAAUGAUUGCCUGUGCUGGAUUUAAUGGAGACAGCUUAUCAGUUUCCACUGUUCCCAAGGAUAUUUUCAAGGGUAAUUCUGGCUAGUGGAAUUUUCAUAAUAUGCACUGACCACAGAAUCAAACCCCUGUGUCAAUGGGGUUGGAUGUGAGUGAGAUAUGGAUGGCACUAGAGAGUCUACUCACUAUGUACGGUUAUUUUAUUCACAUGCAGAAAGAUGAGAACUUGACUAGAAAGACAGGGGAGAGUGGCUAGCAGUGAUGUCUGUGUGGGAGCUGAAGCAUAGAAGCUUGCACUGUGGUUUAUGAACAGAUCCUUGGGCAGAGAAAGAGCAAGAGGGGAGAGCCUAAUUUGCACACCAACUACACAAACUAUCAGACCUUCAAGGCUCCUUUAUUUACCAACUCAACCACCCUGAAACAACACCCAGUGUCUUCAUUGGUCCUUCAGACCCCAAGUACCUCCUCUUUUGAUUCACAACACUUAUUUCUUGUGCUUACAGGGCAGCUGAUCAUGUAUCAUCAUUACAUUUCCAGAAGCUUUUGUUCGUUCCUAGCCAAAUGUGCAGUACCAUGCACUUUUCUGGACACGGAAACACUAAGAACCCUGCAUCUUUCAUUCUUUAAAAGAGCCAAAUUGCUGGGGGCAAGAAUCAGGAUGGAAGUGACUAUUUGAAUUCAUCUCCCUAGGACUUCUAAUUUCAUGGAAAUUGGAAUAAUAGUGAGGAAAUUGCUUUAGAUGAGAGUGUCUGCUCCUGCUUUUGAUUUAAACUAAUCUUCACAUGCUAAAAAUGAAAUGCAAAUUUUAGGAAAGUCAAGGUUUCACUUAGAACAGAAAGGCCAUCCUUAAACUUGACAAAGUUAAAUGAAAUGCUGCUUGAUGACUCUAAACAGCAAAACACAAAUCAGAAAGCAAAGAAUAAAAGUCAAAACAAAACAAUUCUGUAACUGAAGACCACAGUAGAAAAUCAACCCAUCUUAGAUAAAAUUCAAAGUUAUCAUCACAAGUCUCAGAGAAGAGGCAUGUUUUCCUGAGUCUCCUUCAAUGGUAACACUACAGAUGAUCACUUUCUCCACAGCCUAUGAGCACUUCACAGACAGACCAAGUGUGCAACUACAGUGCAGAUGCUGGAGAUCUGCAAUGCUCUCACAUGCUACACCAACACAUACUGACUAAAACAGCAAGAAAACUGAUGCAGUAGGAAUAUUUUCAUCAGCAUCCAUGUUGAGUUUCCCUGAACUGUCAAAUCUGGCCAGACUAGAUUUGUUGUAACAUCAUUCUCUGGAGUAUUUUUGAUCCCUUGAUGCAGGGGACUGAGGAAGUGAGGUGUUUGCUACUGCUGCUGCUGCUGCUGUGGAGAACAGCUGGCAGGAAUCUGAGAACUGGGCAUCUCCAGAUGUGCUUACAGGUGUUACCUGGGGACUUGUUAGAAACAUCAUUGCUCUGGUCCCAUCCAGAACUCCUGAUUCACAAGUUUUAAGCAGGAGAGGGGUAGCAAGGAGUUUUAUGAUGUAUGUUCUCUGGGGAGUUCUUAUAUUGGCCCUAAUUUGAGGACUGAAGAGAAAAUCCAGUCCCUUCAGUUUAUAGAGGAAAGUAGAGGUCCCCAAAGGAAACUUAGUUGUUUUCCCAGAAUCAUUUUUAUACUUUUUAGUUAAUUAAAUAUGCUAAAUUUAGCACUUUUUGGCUUUGUGAUGUUUCACCUUACUGAGCUUCAGUUUCUUUAUCUGUAAGAUGAGAAAAAUAAUACAGUUUCCUUGUACUUAAAAUAAAUGGAUACUGUGUCUAAUAGACAUGUAAUAUGUGUGUAUAUAUGUAUAUCAACUAUAUAUUAUUCAUAUGCAAUAAAACUAGAAUUCUCUGAGAAAAUUAAUUCUCUGAGAAACAGGUAUGUAUAUAACCAGCACCUUAAAUAAGCAAGGCUUUUUUGUAAAGCAAGAACUUGCUGGAAAUGAGAGAUGUUUCACAUCUCUAAUCCUGGUACUGGAGAAGCAAAGACAGGGAGAUCACUACAAGUUCAAGAUCAGCUAGGACUUGCAUAGCAAGACUCUGUCUCAACCAGUCAAACCAAUAUGCUUGAGUAUGGUAACGUUUGUCCAUGAUUCACAUUUCUGUGCCUGUGGUGAGAAGUUUGGAGCACAGAGGCUACAUCCUUCACUUAGACAAGUGCCUGACAAGCCUACAGGAAAUUCUAACAUCAAGAUGUUUUGGAAAAUGAUUCCUGGGAGACCUAAACCAUCAGAAGAGGACUCAGCUGGUGAGAAAGGGAUCUCAGUAAACAUGGCCAUCAACAAAACACUUGUUUGGAGCUCUGUAAUCCUUGGUGUAUACCCCUAGGACCUACAUUUUCUGAAUAGUUUAGUGUAUCUACAAGAGUAA